GCGUCCGUAGCUCAGUCAGGAGAGCGCCGCUGUGACACGGCGGAGGUGGCAGGGGCAGAGCCUGCCGGACGCACCA
rnacentral:tRNA from 1 species